rnacentral:rRNA from 1 species
AAUUUUCGGCAAUGGGGGCAACCCUGACCGAGCGAUGCCGCGUGAGUGAAGAAGGUCUUCGGAUCGUAAAACUCUGUUGGUAGGGACGAACAAGCAUCGUUCGAAUAGGGUGGUACCUGGACGGUACCUAACCAGAAAGCCACGGCAAACUACUGGGCGUAAGCCGCGGUAAUACGUAGGUGGCAAGCUUUAUCCGGAAUUAUUGUGCGAAAAGCGCGCGCAGGCGGUUUCUUAAGUCUGAUGUGAAAGCCCACGGCUCAACCGUGGAGGGUCAUUGGAAACUGGGAAGCUUGAGUGCAGAAGAGGAGAGUGGAAUUCCAUGUGUAGCGGUGAAAUGCGUAGAGAUAUGGAGGAACACCAGUGGCGAAGGCGACUCUCUGGUCUGAAACUGACGCUGAGGCGCGAAAGCGUGGGGAGCGAACA